rnacentral:rRNA from 1 species
UUAAAAAGCUCGUAGUUGGAUCUUGUGAGCGUGUUCUUGCGGUCACACCUAUGGUGUGCACUGCUUGACGUGUUCUUCUAUUUGGUUAGCGUGUGUGUUCUCUUAGUUGAGUGCCGCACUCGACCGAAACGUUUACCUUGAAAAAAUUAGAGUGUUCAAAGCAGACCUGUUUGUGUCUGAAUAUUCGUGCAUGGAAUAAUGAAAUAUGAAUUCGGUUCUAUUUUGUUGGUUUUCGGAACUCGAGUUAAUGAUUAAGAGGGACAGACGGGGUAUUAGUACUCUGCCGUUAGAGGUGAAAUUCUUGGAUC